rnacentral:lncRNA from 1 species
UAGGAAUAACGUGUCUGAUCUGAUUGCACUGUUAAGUGUUGCAGAACCCCUCACCAAAAUGAACAGAGUUGAAUGAAAGGAGACUGUGCAGGAUCACCUAUGUGUACCCCUAGGAAUGGUAAAACAAUGGACUCCAAAAGAAGCAUUCCCUUAAUCUAGUACCAGUUGCUUAUAACAAUGGAGAAAACCUCAGUCUUGCCCUGCAACCAUCCUGUUUUACCUGAGAAGAAGGUCAACAUCAUUCAUUAAAAUUUGUCUCAUCAGAGAAGAGGAGAUGCAGGAGCUGUCUAUGCCACCUGGCCAACUGUCAGAGCUCCAAAAGCCAAACCUGCAGCUGAGGCUGGACCAGCUGAGCUCGUCAUGGCUGGGAGCUGCAGAAGGGGAGGGAGGAAGGUGCAGCCCAGCCCUGGAUCAGAAAAAAGGGUCAGGGAGGUCCAUCCAAAGCCCACAGCCAGUGAAGAUAAAGGGACAGAGCCUUGGGACUGGAGAGCUACUUUUGAUGACACUCAAGAGGCAACAUCCAGCAGCUGCACUUCCCAUUACCAAACAUUUAAAAGUUUUGCAUUUUACAAUGUUUAACUCACCUUGAAAUAGGAACUUGCCAAACUCAUUUUGUCAAUGCUCAGGUAAAGUGGAGAAAAUGGCCAUAAAAUAUGAAUAAAGUAAAGCACUUGUGUAAUGAGCA